rnacentral:rRNA from 1 species
CUGCUGCCUUCCGUAGGAGUUUGGGCCGUGUCUCAGUCCCGAUGUGGCCGUCCACCCUCUCAGGCCGGCUACUGAUCGCUGCCUUGGUGGGCCGUUACCCCGCCAACUAGCUAAUCAGACGCGGAUCCAUCGUAUACCACCGGAGUUUUUCACACUGCCCCAUGCGGAGCCGUGCGCUUAUGCGGUAUUAGCACCUAUUUCUAAGUGUUAUCCCCCGGUAUACGGCAGGUUAUCCACGCGUUACUCACCCGUCCGCCA